CCUACGGGAGGCAGCAGUGGGGAAUAUUGCGCAAUGAGCGAAAGCCUGACGCAGCGACGCCGCGUGAGGGAUGAAGGUCUUCGGAUCGUAAACCUCUGUCAGCAGGGAAGAACGGUCACUGUGCUAAUCAGCAGUGAAUUGACGGUACCUGCAAAGGAAGCACCGGCUAACUCCGUGCCAGCAGCCGCGGUAAUACGGAGGGUGCGAGCGUUAAUCGGAAUUAAUGGGCGUAAAGCGCUCGUAGGCGGUAUGUCAAGUCUAGGGUGAAAUCCCCGGGCUCAACCUGGGAACUGCCUUUGAUACUAGCAAACUGGAGUGUGUUAGAGGAUAGUGGAAUUCCAGGUGUAGGGGUGAAAUGCGUAGAUAUAUGGAGGAACACCAGAGGCGAAGGCGACUAACUGGCACAAAACUGACGCUGAGGGGCGAAAGCGUGGGGAGCAAACAGGAUUAGAUACCCGGGUAGUC
rnacentral:rRNA from 1 species